rnacentral:rRNA from 1 species
AGAGUUUGAUCAUGGCUCAGAUUGAACGCUGGCGGCAGGCUCAACACAUGCAGGUCGAGCGGAGAUGAGGUGCUUGCACCUUAUCUUAGCGGCGGACGGGUGAGUAAUGCUUAGGAAUCUGCCUAUUAGUGGGGGACAACAUUCCGAAAGGAAUGCUAAUACCGCAUACGUCCUACGGGAGAAAGCAGGGGAUCUUCGGACCUUGCGCUAAUAGAUGAGCCUAAGUCGGAUUAGCUAGUUGGUGGGGUAAAGGCCUACCAAGGCGACGAUCUGUAGCGGGUCUGAGAGGAUGAUCCGCCACACUGGGACUGAGACACGGCCCAGACUCCUACGGGAGGCAGCAGUGGGGAAUAUUGGACAAUGGGGGGAACCCUGAUCCAGCCAUGCCGCGUGUGUGAAGAAGGCCUUAUGGUUGUAAAGCACUUUAAGCGAGGAGGAGGCUACUGAGACUAAUACUCUUGGAUAGUGGACGUUACUCGCAGAAUAAGCACCGGCUAACUCUGUGCCAGCAGCCGCGGUAAUACAGAGGGUGCGAGCGUUAAUCGGAUUUACUGGGCGUAAAGCGUGCGUAGGCGGCUUUUUAAGUCGGAUGUGAAAUCCCCGAGCUUAACUUGGGAAUUGCAUUCGAUACUGGGAAGCUAGAGUAUGGGAGAGGAUGGUAGAAUUCCAGGUAUAGCGGUGAAAUGCGUAGAGAUCUGGAGGAAUACCGAUGGCGAAAGCAGCCAUCUGGCCUAAUACUGACGCUGAGGUACGAAAGCAUGGGGAGCAAACAGGAUUAGAUACCCUGGUAGUCCAUGCCGUAAACGAUGUCUACUAGCCGUUGGGGCCUUUGAGCUUUAGUGGCGCAGCUAACGCGAUAAGUAGACCGCCUGGGGAGUACGGUCGCAGACUAAAACUCAAAUGAAUUGACGG